UGAGGAAUAUUGCGCAAUGGGCGAAAGCCUGACGCAGCGACACCGCGUGAAGGAUGAAGGCUUUAGGGUCGUAAACUUCUGUUAAGCGGGAAGAAAAAGGCGGUCUUAAUACGACCGCAAAAUGACGGUACCGCUAGAGAAAGCACCGGCUAACUUCGUGCCAGCAGCCGCGGUAAGACGAGGGGUGCAAACGUUAUUCGGAAUGAUUGGGCGUAAAGGGUGCGUAGGCGGCAUAUUAAGUCAAUCGUUAAAUUUCUCAGCCUAACUGGGAGUAUGCGGUAGAAACUGAUGUGCUAGAGGAUGGAAGAGAGAAGUGGAAUUCUCGGAGUAGCGGUAAAAUGCGUAGAUCUCGAGAGGAACACCGAUGGCGAAGGCAGCUUCUUGGUCCAUUUCUGACGCUGAGGCACGAAAGCGUGGGGAGCAAACAGG
rnacentral:rRNA from 1 species